UUGUUUGUGGUUGUGUCAUUGUAAGACUUUGGAAGGACUUAUUAGCCAAGAAAAGUUUGAAAAAUCUCGAGCCUAUAGUCUUGAUAAAAGGUUUUGUUGUUUUUUAUCUGGUCACAAGUUUCCUCAUUUAUAUUUUUUUACCUGUGCUACUCACCAAUAUAGCUAUUUUGGUUGUGCUCUGAUUUGCCUUUCUUAACUUUUAACCACUUCCAUUUUGUUCAUGAGUUCGUAACUAUACUGAUGGACUUUGCAAUUUUGUUUUUUGAGGGUAUUGCCUUGGUUGUGGAAGGUGAGUGGUUUGUUGUUAGAUUAUGGAUUGGUUGUGCUGCAACACUAUUCUCUGUAUCUAAUUUUUCCUCUUUACUCCAGACAUCAGGAGACUUCCUUGUGUACAUGGGUCUCAAUGCAAAGAAUGAAAUAGUGCACACCCAUGCAUUUUUGGCCGGUGUUAUGUUUUGGUCACAGGUUCCAGUGGAUCUUGUCAUUGACCAUUAUGUUCAGGUUGAUGUGGCAAGAAGUGAAAAUGCAAUGUAGGCAAAUAUGGGGCUUGAAUUUCAGAGAAACAAGGAGAGGUUAAUCUUGACUACCUUUGAUGGGUUAUUUUCUACAAAAAUGGCAUUUUGUACCCUGAUAGCGUGGUUGGAACUGAUUCCCAUACAACUAUGAUUGCUGGCUUAGCAGUUGUUGGCUGGGGAGUUAGAGGAAUUGAAUCUGAGGCUACAAUGCUUGGCCAGGUAUUUUGAGAUAAUAAUGUAUUUUCUUUAUGAUUUUUCAUACGCUUGUGCCAGCUGUUAGUGUUUGCACUUAUUCUUUGGUAGACAAACAUCCAUGAAAUGGGUAGCUGUUUUCUCUUCUUUUUCCUCCAAAGGUGCAAAAGAAAAUGCAGCCUCUGCUUCUCUAAAACUUGCUGCUACUGGUGAUAGUAACUGCAAUGUAUGUACACUCCUCCCCCCCCCAAAAUGGAGUAAAUUCUUGAGUUUUUAUUUAUUUAUUUAUGGGUACCUAGAAUUAUCGUUCAACAGUAAUAAUAAUAUACAUUCACAAAAAGAUUGUACACAAGCUGUAUUGAGGUUUAUCAUUUUCAAAAUACUGUGCUCAUUAGUGACCUCCUAAUUAAAAUGUCAUUGACACUGAGCUGCUAUGGCAUCUAAUUGUUAACAAGGAAGUUACUUCCAAAAGGAUUAAGAUCAAGCAGAAAUGAUUAAUGUUCCUAUUUUGGUUUGCUGAAUUAACUUUUUAGUUUAUUCAUAUGCAUCGGUGGUUUCUGGAUUAAUUUGUGUUUUCAU